GCCUAGCCACGCCAAAGAAUUUGUGUGGCAGCUGACCGUGGUGAGGGAUAGAGACACAGACCGAGAGAGAAAAAGGCUGUAGGCUUUAUUGAGCAGAUUGAAAGGACAAAGCUUCCACAGUGUGGAAGGGGUCCCGAGCGGGUAGCCAGAGUUAGAUUAUGUGACUGCCUUUUAAACUCUUUAAGGCCGGAAAUACGUGUGGCGAGAUGUUACCAGAGCGAGAAACAAAGGCAAUUAACCGUUUGUAACAUGUCUUAGAUCUUGAGGAAAACUGGAAUUGCAACUUAGGUUUUAUCUACUUUAUGAACUUGCAGCAGCAUGGCAAAGGAGACGGGAUCUUACAGGACUUUGUUACAAAGACCGAAGUAAGUCCUGAUGCAGGAAAUGAGUGACUUUCACAGCUUUCUGAGCCCCUACUCAACCCAGGAAGUCCAGCUGGCACCUCCUCUGGAUCACAAGGUCUUCUGAAGUUCCUCAGCUCACUUGUCUCAGCAGUGUCUGUAUCCUUUAGUCCUCAAUUAUCGAUGAAAAAAGGAGGUGCCACAAAGUGGAUAUUACUGUGAAUAAGUCUGAAUUCAGGGUAUAGAAACACACAUGUGUGUGCACACAUACACACACACAGAACCUUGGGGAACUGUUUUUAUUUUGUGGAAAACAUACCUAAUUGCAAUGUUGUUUGCUUUGCCAGGUGCCAUGUCCAAUCAUGCUCAAAGAAAUCUUUCAGCUGCUCCUGGAAAGAGGGCUUGCUUAUAUAGUUGCUCUCUUAUUGCUGCUAGCAAUAAGCCCAAUUUACCUUCUCAGUACAUAUCUCCUUUACCUAUACUUGACAUUUCUUUCAAAGAGACAGCCUGAUCCCUUGUGUAUUUGUGAGCACUGUGUUUGUGUUUAUUUGUGUUUCUGUAUGUGUUUCCUUCACCUACUUUAACUCUUACGAAGAUCAACAACCACUUAAAACAUUCAACCAUUUUUUGGUCUCCAAGUUCCUUCUCUUAGAGAGAACAUUUGGCUGCAGCUGUUUUCUUUCUGCAAAGCUCUAUUAUGCUUAAAGUUCAUAGUUGAAUAAGAAAAUGCAUUUCUAGAAAUAUGUUUUCUGGAUUUUUAUGUAAUAGUAGUACACUCAAGCAUUGUUCUUUUGCUGAAUGCAUGCAAAUCUAUAAUGGAAAAUAUUUCAUCAGUUUAGAUGUUUAUGCUUUCAUAUUAAAGAUUUUUGUUAACCAGACAGAGGAACAAGGCCUAAUAUGGCAACAUGCUCUGUUUAAGUAAUAGUACUUGUCUUGAUUAUAUGGCCUUUAUUAAAAUUCCCAGCUCCGUGAACAUUACACAAAACAUUUUUUGCCAGAUUUCUAGAUGCCUCUGACAUAAAAUAAUCAAGACUCAAGUGUAUGCAUGUAUGUGUGUAUGCAUGUGUAUGUAUAGUGAUUCUAUAUAUAUAUAUAAUAUAUAUAUAUAUAUAAAAUAUAUAAUCCAUCUGAAGACAUGCAUUUGGAAACAUCAAAUCCAAGCUACCAGGCUUAUGUAAAUCCAGAUAAGGAACAACCAAUUUCUCAGAACUUGUUAAAAUAUCUGAACUUAAGUGAACUUCAUAGUUCUUAAAUUUUUUUAUUUUUCCAGUCUUACUGAUAUUUUUAAAAUUUAAUCAUUAUAAACUCCAAUAGCAGAAAAACAAAUAUUAUCUUUUACAAUAAAUAACAGAAGUGAAUCUAUAUAGAUCUAGGGUACUCAUGGGGUUCAUUCUCUUUGGCGCAUUCAUAAAAACCUGAAAUCUGAAAUUGUGUGACUUUGAAGGACACUAUGUCUAUCUAUCUAUCAUCUAUCUAUCUAUCAUCUACCUAUUUCCAAUUGUUUAAAAUUUCUCUUACCCAAUUUAUUAAAAAUUCAUUUUUACUAGUGAGUAGGCACCUAUUAGGGCAGGAAUUAUGUAUUAUCUCUAUUUAUUAUUACACAUCCUGGGCCUAAGUGCAAAGUAAAUAUUUAUUGAAGAAAAGAAGGAGAAAGUAAAGAAGGGAAGAAGAAGGGAAGGAGGUAGGGAAGAAUGGAAAGCAGGGUGGGAAGUAAGGGAAGGAAGAAAUGUAUUAACUAUUUUUGUUGUUGUUGUUCCUUUCCUAGACCUUAUCAGUAUACAAAAUAGAAUGGCUGCUACAGAGUAGGUACCAGAAGUGUCCACUAUGGACAAUAGAAGGCUUUGCAGUUUGGGUACUAUAGGAAGAAAACAUUGAGACAGAGUUGGUUGUACAACUCUUUUUAUUAAGAAGUUACAUCAGCAAAAGAAGGGGAAGAAGAAGGGAUGGUUAGAUGUGACAGAGGCUGUAUCCCCCACAAGGAGCUCUAGAGUAAAUGUUGCCUGUUAGAGGAGUUCUAUUUCAGGUGCACAUGGCUAAGCCCUUGGACCACUGCCUUGUUCAAUCACUGGCUGGCAGCCACUCUAAGAAGACUGGUACCUCGGCUUGAAAUCUGAGGCUGACGAUAAAGAAGCUGAUAGCUGGAGGCUGUUUGAUAACCACGCUCCUUGCAGCUAGCAUUUCUUUUCUUAAACGGGGAUGUGGAAGACACAUCUCUGUAUCUUCUACAUCAGGUUUCCAUGGGAAUCUUUGAAAAGCAACUGACUACAGCUGAAUCUAUAUGUGUUCUAACAAGAUCAGAUUCAAUUAAAGAUCUGAUGCAUCUGCUCCUCGUGGUUUAUGAAAAAAAUCAACAUGAAUUUAUUGAAUAAUUAAUAUGUACAGAUUAUGCAAACUGUGAGAAAUUCAAAAACUGAGGAAGCUCCUGCCUGUGUUUUCGUAUCGCAAUGAGAACUGAAGCUAGGCAUGUAUUCACCAACAUGAGGUAGGAGAGAAAAUAUUUUUCACCCAUCACAAGGUUCAUGGCUGAGGCUUUUACAACAAAAGACAAAUUAACAACAAAAAAAUAGGAUAACCAAAUUUAUUUAACGUAAGUUUUAUAUGAAACAAAGCCUUCAGAAUUGAACAUGGAAAGAACCAGGGAAAACUGUGCAUUUUUACAGAAAGUCAUACAAAAGUGUGAUUGGAGCACAAAAGAGUAUGAUCUAAGGAUAAUAAACUGGGGUAAACUUAACAAGGCCUGUUUGUUCAGAUUCUUCUUGGACUCUCCGUGUGACAUUUCUUCUCUCCUGUAGUAAGACAGGACAUCUGUCACAUGAGGUUCUUUAGGAGAGAGGGGAGGGACAAAGUUAGAGAGACCUUCCCGCUUCUGCAGUUUUCUCAAUUUAUUUCAGCUUUAAAAUACUCAGUAUGGCAAGAUUCCACAUUUUGGGGUGGCAUUUUCUAUACCCCAUUAAUGACAAACUUGAGUAUCCUAGUUUAUUUUUUCCCCAACUGAAAUUGUUUUUUAUAAUCUCAGAAAAAAAAAAAACUGCUAGGCAUGGGGUAUGUGAAAAUGGAAGUUAAAAUGACAGUAUUGUAGACAGUUGGCCAGCAAGUGAUUCAGUAUCUCAAUGAAUUAUUAUAAAUUGAGUAUCUACAACGUGCCAUUAACUAUGAUAGAAUCCUAGGACACAGAAAUUGACAACGUAGAAGAUAUCCUUCCAUUCGCUGAACUUAUACAUGACCAAACUAAUAAUUCUGAAGAAUUAGAAGAGCUAAGAAUGAAAUGAAAGAGGAAAUGUUAUAAAGAGUAAAUAUAGUAGAACUGGGAAGCCAAGAGCAGGAAAAUUUUAUGUAGGAUGAUCAAUCAAGAACAUUUUGAAGAAAUGUAAUUUGACUUGAGAUCUGAGAGGUGAACAAACAAUAAAUUGAACUUUUUGGGGGAGAAUAUUAAAAAGAAAAGAUAACCAGAAAGAAAAAUUACAAAGUUUCUGAGAGAG
rnacentral:lncRNA from 10 species